GGCGGCGUGCCUAACACAUGCAAGUCGAGCGGGGACAUGCGACGGAAGACAAAGUACUCGUACGGAGUCAAAGAUGUAUGUUCUAGCGGCGGACGGGUGAGUAACGCGUGAGCAACCUGUCCCUUACAGGGGGAUAACACAGCGAAAGUUGUACUAAUACCGCAUGAGACCACGGGAUGACAUCGUCCAGGGGUCAAAGGAGCAAUCCGGUAAGGGGUGGGCUCGCGUCCGAUUAGAUAGUUGGUGAGGUAACGGCCCACCAAGUCGACGAUCGGUAGCCGACCUGAGAGGGUGAUCGGCCACAUUGGGACUGAGACACGGCCCAAACUCCUACGGGAGGCAGCAGUGGGGAAUAUUGGGCAAUGGGGGGAACCCUGACCCAGCAACGCCGCGUGAGGGAAGAAGGUUUUCGGAUCGUAAACCUCUGUCCCAGGUGAAGAGGAAGAGACGGUAGCCUGGGAGGAAGCCCCGGCUAACUACGUGCCAGCAGCAGC
rnacentral:rRNA from 1 species